rnacentral:rRNA from 1 species
CAUGGCUCAGGACGAACGCUGGCGGCGUGCUUAAUACAUGCAAGUCGAGCGGACCGACGGGAGCUUGCUCCCUUAGGUCAGCGGCGGACGGGUGAGUAACACGUGGGUAACCUGCCUGUAAGACUGGGAUAACUCCGGGAAACCGGGGCUAAUACCGGAUGCUUGAUUGAACCGCAUGGUUCAAUCAUAAAAGGUGGCUUUUAGCUACCACUUACAGAUGGACCCGCGGCGCAUUAGCUAGUUGGUGAGGUAACGGCUCACCAAGGCGACGAUGCGUAGCCGACCUGAGAGGGUGAUCGGCCACACUGGGACUGAGACACGGCCCAGACUCCUACGGGAGGCAGCAGUAGGGAAUCUUCCGCAAUGGACGAAAGUCUGACGGAGCAACGCCGCGUGAGUGAUGAAGGUUUUCGGAUCGUAAAACUCUGUUGUUAGGGAAGAACAAGUACCGUUCGAAUAGGGCGGCACCUUGACGGUACCUAACC